UCUACAUAUCUCAUUCUCUCUCUUAACUCUAUGUAAAUCUCCUACCCAAACCCCAAAUUUUCCCGAGACCACUCUAAAAAAAUUUCCAAACUUUCUGAGAGGAAAUUCUCCAAAUUUCCCAGAAAUUUCCCCACAGCCUCAAACUCCCAGCUCUCCCUACCUCUCAUCGAAAUCCCAAAAUUCUAGUCCUCUACUAAUAAUCUUUAUCCUGUGCUAUUACUUGCUUAUUUUCUUAUUCACUUUGUCUCUCUCUCCUUUUUUCGUGUGUGGGUUUCGUCGUUUUUGUUACACUAGAUAGCCAGUAUUUGAGCUCUGAAAUCUCCGUUAGACAAGGGGUAUCUGCUAGAAGAGGUGCUCAAGACUCUUUGCGGUUCGAAUCAGUGGUCUUAUGAUGAGUUCUGGAAGAUCGGCUGCCAAAACCCUAAGCUGCUAAUAUGGGAAGAAUAUCACUAUGAAUCCUCAAAUUCUUCUCUACCUGCAAGCAUUUUUGGAACUGGGAGUACUGAGCUACCUUUUGGAGAGUGGGAAGGACUAUUGAUGUCAUCUGAAACUUGCCCUUCUCAGCUUGGAAGUCAAGUGGGAGAUCAAGUCUCGACACUUAUUAAAAAAAAUGAUGAUUAGUAAUCAGGUCAAUAUAGUGGGUGAAGGAAUAGUUGGGCGAGCUGCAUUUACUGGAAACCAUCAAUGGAUUCUUUCAAAUAGUUAUGAUAAAUAUGUCCAUCUCCU